UACGGAAGGUCCGGGCGUUAUCCGGAUUUAUUGGGUUUAAAGGGAGCGUAGGCCGUGGAUUAAGCGUGUUGUGAAAUGCAGGUGCUCAACGUCUGCACUGCAGCGCGAACUGGUCCACUAGAGUGUGCGCAACGCAGGCGGAAUUCGUCGUGUAGCGGUGAAAUGCUUAGAUAUGACGAAGAACUCCGAUUGCGAAGGCAGCUUGCGGGAGCACAACUGACGCUGAAGCUCGAAAGUGCGGGUAUCGAACAGGAUUAGAUACCCCGGUAGUCC
rnacentral:rRNA from 1 species